AGCGAACGCUGGCGGCAUGCCUAACACAUGCAAGUGUGGCCCAGCGGCGGACGGGUGAGUAUCGCGUAGGAACGUGUCCUGAGGUGGGGAACAACCCUGGGAAACUGGGGCUAAUGCCGCCUGCCUUGGGAGCGGCCUGCGUCCGAUUAGCUUGUUGGUGGGGUAAUGGCCUACCAAGGCUUCGAUCGGUAGCUGGUCUGAGAGGACGAUCAGCCACACUGGGACUGAGACACGGCCCAGACUCCUACGGGAGGCAGCAGUGGGGAAGAUUGGGCAAUGGGCGCAAGCCUGACCCAGCAAUGCCGCGUGGGUGAAGAAGGUCUUCGGAUUGUAAAGCCCGUUCGGCGGGGACGCGGUACCCGCAGAAGAAGCCCCGGCUAACUUCGUGCCAGCAGCCGCGGUAAUUC
rnacentral:rRNA from 1 species